rnacentral:tRNA from 6 species
GCCCGCUUGGCUAAGCGGUAUAGCGUGUCACUAGUAAUUUCACUUGACAUGACAAGGUGAUCAGUUCGACUCUGAUAGUGGGCA